rnacentral:rRNA from 1 species
GUAUUUUGUGAUAGCAUGAAGAAUUGUCACUCUGCGUGCUCUGCAAAGGAGAAUGAAGAAGGUAUCGUAUAUUUGAUAGUCCUUACUACAUGGAUAACGGAGAGAAUUCUAGAGCUAAUACAUGCAAAAAACCUCGACUUCGGAAGGGGGUGUGUUUAUUAGACUUAAAAACCAAUGCCCUUUUGGGCUCUCUGGUGAUUCAUAAUAACCUGUCGAAUCGCACGGCCUUGCGCCGGCGAUGGUUCAUUCAAAUUUCUGCCCUAUCAACUUUCGACGGCUGGGUCUGGCCCAGCCGUGGUGACAACGGGUAACGGAGGGUUAGGGCUCGACCCCGGAGAGGGAGCCUGAGAGACGGCUACCACAUCCAAGGAAGGCAGCAGGCGGCGCAAAUUACCCAAUCCCCGACUCGGGGAGGUAGUGACAAUAAAAUACUGAUACAGGGCUCUUUUGGGUCUUGUAAUUGGAAUGAGUACAAUUUAAAUCCCUUUAACGAGGAACAAUUGGGAGGGCAAAGUCUGGUGCCAGCAGCCCGCGGUAAUUCCAAGCUCCAAUAGCGUAUAUUAAAGUUGUUGGAGGUUAAAAAGCUCGUAGUUGAACCUUGGGCCUGGCUGGCCGGUCCGCCUCACCGCGUGUACUGGUCCGGCCGGGUCUUUCCCUCUGGGGAGCCGCAUGUCCUUUUACUGGGCGUGCCGGGGAACCAGGACUUUUACUCUGAACAAAUCAGAUCGCUUAAAGAAGGCCUAUUGCUCGAAUGCGUUAGCAUGGAAUAAUAGAAUAGGACGUGUGGUUCUAUUUUGUUGGUUUCUAGGACCGCCGUAAUGGAUUAAUAGGGACAGUCGGGGGCAUCAGUAUUCAAUUGUCAGAGGUGAAAUUCUUGGAUUUAUUGAAGACUAACUACUGCGAAAGCAUUUGCCAAGGAUGUUAUCAUUAAUCAGGAACGAUUUUAGGGGAUCGAAGCCGAUCAGAUAACGUCGUAGUGUUAGCCAUAAACUAUGCCGAUUAGGGCUCAAAAAAAGUUCGGGGGUGGGUCGUUUGCUUCUCCGAUCCUCAAAAAUGAGGUCGAGGUGUGUUAAAUUC